GACGUAGGUGGCGAACGUUAUCCGGAAUUAUUGGGCGUAAAGGGUGCGUAGAUGGCGUGAUAAGUUACUAGUGGGAAAUCGAGGCUCAACCUCGUGGAAGUUGGUAAUACUAUCAUGCUUGAGGACAUGAGGGGUUAACGGAAUUCCCUGUGGAGCGGUAAAAUGCAUAGAUAUAGGGAGGAACAUCAAUAAAAGCGAAGGCAGUUAACUAUUAUGUUCCUGACAUUGAGGCACGAAAGCGUAGGGAGCAAAACGG
rnacentral:rRNA from 1 species